GUGGGGAAUCUUGCGCAAUGGGCGAAAGCCUGACGCAGCCAUGCCGCGUGAAUGAUGAAGGUCUUAGGAUUGUAAAAUUCUUUCACCGGGGACGAUAAUGACGGUACCAUAGGAAUAAGCACCGGCUAACUCCGUGCCAGCAGCCGCGGUAAUACGGAGGGUGCAAGCGUUAUCCGGAUUCACUGGGUUUAAAGGGUGCGUAGGCGGAUAAAUAAGUCAGUGGUGAAAUCAACGGGCUCAACCUGUUAACUGCCAUUGAUACUGUGUAUCUUGAAUAUGAGGGAGGUAGGCGGAAUGUUGCAUGUAGCGGUGAAAUGCUUAGAUAUGCUACGGAACACCGAUUGCGAAGGCAGCUUACUAUUUCGUAAUUGACGCUGAGGCACGAAAGCGUGGGUAGCGAACAGGAUUAGAUACCCGAGUAGUCC
rnacentral:rRNA from 1 species